rnacentral:rRNA from 1 species
AUUGAACGCUGGCGGCAUGCCUUACACAUGCAAGUCGAACGGUAACAGGUCUUCGGAUGCUGACGAGUGGCGAACGGGUGAGUAAUACAUCGGAACGUGCCCGAUCGUGGGGGAUAACGGAGCGAAAGCUUUGCUAAUACCGCAUACGAUCUACGGAUGAAAGCAGGGGACCGCAAGGCCUUGCGCGGACGGAGCGGCCGAUGGCAGAUUAGCUAGUUGGUGGGGUAAAAGCUCACCAAGGCGACGAUCUGUAGCUGGUCUGAGAGGACGACCAGCCACACUGGAACUGAGACACGGUCCAGACUCCUACGGGAGGCAGCAGUGGGGAAUUUUGGACAAUGGGCGCAAGCCUGAUCCAGCAAUGCCGCGUGCAGGAUGAAGGCCUUCGGGUUGUAAACUGCUUUUGUACGGAACGAAACGGUGAGCUCUAAUAAAGCUUGCUAAUGACGGUACCGUAAGAAUAAGCACCGGCUAACUACGUG